CUAGAGCUUAGCUCAACAGUAAAGGUGCAAGAACAUAGCCUGAUUCAUCUUUUAAACACCGCAGAAGGCUGUAAGGACACCUAAGCUGCAGAUAAACUUGUAAAGCAGGAAACCGCUGAUUUUAAGGAAAUUUGUACCCAUGACCUGCAGUUUCUUACAUGGUACAUCAGAACAGUAGUUCUGCCAGCCCUCUGUCCAAGAGCACACAAAGUACAUCUUUGCAGGCCUCUGACUUUCUUGGCUUGAGCCCAUCUCAAAUUCUCUCCUCAGUGAUCCAGAUGCUUGCGUGCUAGCCAAGAAGUCUCUGCAUUGCCUGUAAUGACAUCUUAGAUUGCUGCAGAGGCAAAGGACGGAUUUAAUCAAUGACACGAGCACUGCAGUCUCUUUAUGCUAUGAAACAGAGGCUCCUGGCCCUGAUUUGCAUGACUCACUGCUAGCCAAGGGUAGUACAGAGGAUUUUAAAGCAUGAAAAUUUAGAGCUACUAAAAAUCCAUCUUGUGUGUUCUGAACGACCUCACUGGUUACUCUUUUUCCAAAAAACAUUGGGAUUUACUAUUUCCCUAACUAUUGUUUUGCUUCAGGCUUUUUCCCUUAAAUGGCCAUAGUCUUUAUGUUACUUAUCAGCUUCAAAAGACGAUCAGGCGUGCAAUAUUUUUGUCCUGUCAGCUGGUAGUGGAUUUCAAAACAGGAUGCCUAUUUUUUCCCCCCAUUAUUUGAAACAGUGAGACACAGAAGUCUGAGCUUUUGUUUGCAGUUGGUUAUACAGGUUCAACCUGGUGAUUCAUUCUUCCUGCAGCUACAUUUCCAGGAAAAGACAAAGUCCUGGCUCUUCUCCAAGUUAUCCAUAGACUGCUUGAGAGUAAGAUCAGAAAGCACUCCUUCUCCCACAGCUGGGACACUUUCUAAGAAGAGAGGAAUUGAGCGCAACACAUCCCAGAGCUGGUGUUACGGCCUUGCAGAGGAGCAAGAAGGCACAUGGCCUUGGAAAGGCAUGUGCAGUACCAAGUCAAGGUGCAGAUAACAGCAUUAUUUACAUGAUUUAAGAUUCUUGGCCUAGUGAAGCACAACUGAACAUUUGCAAGGAGUCACUCUCCAUUUCUGGGACUGAUGGUGAAGCUGGGUGGUUUGUGGAAAAUCCUGCAAUUUCAUUUCUGGCAUGUUAGGAGACUCAGCUUCUUGUUGCAGUUGAUAUGGGCAAGAACGUACCCCUGGAUCUGGGAAUUUUUCAAGAGUUGUUAUUCAGUUAGGAGCUGGUAACUAUGGUUUCAGACAUCUCCUCUCGCGGAUACUGCUGCUCACAGAUGAAGGGAGGCCUCGUUUUCCAUCAUGAAGCAAGGGACUACAGGGUUGUGUGGUUAUGAAUGUAAACUCUAAGCUUUCAGAGAGGGAGUUAAAUAAAAACAUGCACAAAUCUA